rnacentral:rRNA from 1 species
AGCCCGCUCUAGCCCAACCACAUUUAACCGAUUAACAACAACAAGAAUCUACUUCACUGCUCAACUAAAACAUUUAUUAAAACUUAGUAUAGGUGAUAGAAAAGACCAGCCUGGCGCGAUAGAGACUUCGUACCGCAAGGAAAGAUGAAAUAGCAAUGAAAAACUAAGCAGUAAAUAGCAAAGAUAAACCCUUGUACCUUUUGCAUCAUGAUUUAGCAAGAAUAACCAAGCAAAACGAGUUUAAGCUUGCCACCCCGAAACCUAAGCGAGCUACUUGCAAGCAGCUACUUAUGAGCGAACCCGUCUCUGUUGCAAAAGAGUGGGAUGACUUGCUAGUAGAGGUGAAAAGCCAACCGAGCUGGGUGAUAGCUGGUUGCCUGUGAAAUGAAUCUCAGUUCCCCCUUGACCUCCCUCCCCGGACACAACUCUAACCUUUAUGUAGAAAGUCAAGAGUAAUUUAAAGGAGGUACAGCUCCUUUAAAAAAGGAUACAACCUUCACUAGCGGCUAUACUACCCCACUUCUCCCCAUUACUGUAGGCCCUCAAGCAGCCACCAAUAAAGAGUGCGUCAAAGCUCUACACAUAAAAUCCAAUAACAACAUGAUUCCCUUCCCACUAACAGGCUAACCUAUGCCAAUAGGAGUAUUAAUGCUAAAAUGAGUAACUAGGGGUUCACCCUCCACAAGCGCAAGCUUACAUCCUCAUAUUAUUAACAGAUAACAAACCAAUAUCUCAAUUAUAACAAGACUAACAUAUUAAACUCACCCUGUUACACCGACCAUAGGAGCGCCCACUAGAAAGAUUAAAAUCUGUAAAAGGAACUAGGCAAACCCAAGGCCCGGCUGUUUACCAAAAACAUAGCCUUCAGCCCACCAAGUAUUGAAGGGGGUGCCUGCCCAGUGACAUAACGUUUAACGGCGGGGGUAUCCUAACCGGGCGAAGGUAGCGCAAUCAAUUGUCCCAUAAAUCGAGACUUGUAUGAAUGGCUAAACGAGGUCUUAACUGUCUCUUACAGAUAAUCAGUGAAAUUGAUCUUCCUGUGCAAAAGCAGGAAUACUAACAUAAGACGAGAAGACCCUGUGGAACUUAAAAAUCAGCGGCCACUACACACAAACUCAAACCUACUAGGCCUUCCUCCUUCCCCAAUGCUGGCCCGCAUUUUUCGGUUGGGGCGACCUUGGAGAAAAACGGAUCCUCCAAAAAUAAGACCACACCUCUUAACCAAGAACAACCCCUCAACGUACUAACAGUAACCAGACCCAAUACAAUUGAUCAAUGGACCAAGCUACCCCAGGGAUAACAGCGCAAUCUCCUCUAAGAGCCCACAUCGACGAGGAGGUUUACGACCUCGAUGUUGGAUCAGGACAUCCUAAUGGUGCAGCCGCUAUUAAGGGUUCGUUUGUUCAACGAUUAACAGUCCUACGUGAUCUGAGUUCAGACCGGAGCAAUCCAGGUCGGUUUCUAUCUAUGACAAACUUUCCCUAGUACGAAAGGACCGAGAAAGUGGGGCCAAUACUACAAGCACGCCCCCUCCCCAAGUAAUGUACCCAACUAAAUUACCAAAGGAUACCCUACACUAACUCCUAGAAAGGACCA